rnacentral:rRNA from 1 species
AAAGACUCAUCGGUGAUGGAUGGGGAUGCGUCUGAUUAGCUUGUUGGCGGGGUAACGGCCCACCAAGGCGACGAUCAGUAGGGGUUCUGAGAGGAAGGUCCCCCACAUUGGAACUGAGACACGGUCCAAACUCCUACGGGAGGCAGCAGUGAGGAAUAUUGGUCAAUGGACGAGAGUCUGAACCAGCCAAGUAGCGUGCAGGAUGACGGCCCUAUGGGUUGUAAACUGCUUUUAUAAGGGAAUAAAGUGAGUCUCGUGAGACUUUUUGCAUGUACCUUAUGAAUAAGGACCGGCUAAUUCCGUGCCAGCAGCCACGGUAAUACGGAAGGUCCGGGCGUUAUCCGGAUUUAUUGGGUUUAAAGGGAGCGUAGGCCGGAGAUUAAGCGUGUUGUGAAAUGUAGAUGCUCAACAUCUGCACUGCAGCGCGAACUGGUUUCCUUGAGUACGCACAAAGUGGGCGGAAUUCGUGGUGUAGCGGUGAAAUGCUUAGAUAUCACGAAGAACUCCGAUUGCGAAGGCAGCUCACUGGAGCGCAACUGACGCUGAAGCUCGAAAGUGCGGGUAUCGAACAGGAUUAGAUACCCUGGUAGUCCGCACGGUAAACGAUGGAUGCCCGCUGUUGGUCUGAAUAGGUCAGCGGCCAAGCGAAAGCAUUAAGCAUCCCACCUGGGGAGUACGCCGGCAACGGUGAAACUCAAAUGACAUUG